UACGAAGGGGGCUAGCGUUGCUCGGAAUCACUGGGCGUAAAGGGCGCGUAGGCGGGCUGUCAAGUCUGGGGUGAAAUCCCGCGGCUCAACCGUGGAACUGCCUCAGAUACUGACGGCCUCGAGGGAGAUAGGGGCGAGCGGAACUAAUGGUGGAGCGGUGAAAUGCGUUGAUAUCAUUAGGAACUCCGGUGGCGAAGGCGGCUCGCUGGAUCUUUUCUGACGCUGAGGCGCGAAAGCUAGGGGAGCAAACGGG
rnacentral:rRNA from 1 species